rfam:Ciona savignyi cont_65585, whole genome shotgun sequence.
UCCUCGUUAGUAAAGUGGUGAGUAUCCCCGCCUGUCACGCGGGAGACCGGGGUUCGAUUCCCCGACGGGGAG